AUAGAUAGAGUUUGAGCUGACAUAUGAUGCCGUAGGAUAAUCCUCAUCACACCCCUUCAAUUCAAACUGGAAAUUGUUCGAAUUGUUAACUUUGGACAUGGAAUCUUAUGGCGUGAUUGAGAGACAGCUCUUGUAAGAAGAUCAGUAAUUUGAUCCUUAGAUGAAAUGUAUCGUACCUGUAAUUGUUUCUUGGUGACCAUGUCACAAACAAAGUGGAAGUCGACCUCUAUGUGUUUGUUG
rnacentral:misc_RNA from 1 species